UACGUAGGGCGCAAGCGUUGUCCGGAAUUAUUGGGCGUAAAGAGCUCGUAGGCGGUUUGUCGCGUCGGGAGUGAAAUCCACUGGCUUAACUGGUGGCUUGCUUUCGAUACGGGCAGACUGGAGGUAUGCAGGGGAGAACGGAAUUCCGGGUGUAGCGGUGAAAUGCGCAGAUAUCCGGAGGAAGACCGGUGGCGAAGGCGGCCUGCUGGGCAGUUUCUGACACUGAGGCGCGACAGCGUGGGGAGCAAACAGG
rnacentral:rRNA from 1 species